AGAGUUUGAUCCUGGCUCAGAUUGAACGCUGGCGGCAGGCUUAACACAUGCAAGUCGAGCGGAAACGAAGGUAGCUUGCUACCAGGCGUCGAGCGGCGGACGGGUGAGUAAUGCUUAGGAAUCUACCGAGUAGUGGGGGAUAGCCAUUGGAAACGAUGAUUAAUACCGCAUAUAUCCUACGGGGGAAAGCAGGGGACCUUCGGGCCUUGCGCUAUUCGAUGAGCCUGAGUGAGAUUAGCUAGUUGGUGGGGUAAAGGCCUACCAAGGCGACGAUCUCUAGCUGGUCUGAGAGGAUGAUCAGCCACACUGGGACUGAGACACGGCCCAGACUCCUACGGGAGGCAGCAGUGGGGAAUAUUGCACAAUGGACGAAAGUCUGAUGCAGCCAUGCCGCGUGUGUGAAGAAGGCCUUCGGGUUGUAAAGCACUUUCAGCGAGGAGGAAAGGUCAGUAAGUAAUAUUUGCUGGCUGUGACGUUACUCGCAGAAGAAGCACCGGCUAAUUUAGUGCCAGCAGCCGCGGUAAUACUAAAGGUGCAAGCGUUAAUCGGAAUUACUGGGCGUAAAGCGCGCGUAGGUGGUUUGUUAAGUUGGGAUGUGAAAGCCCAGGGCUCAACCUUGGAACUGCAUUCAAAACUGACUCACUAGAGUACGAGAGAGGUUAGUGGAAUUUCCUGUGUAGCGGUGAAAUGCGUAGAGAUGGGAAGGAACACCAGUGGCGAAGCGACUGACUGGCUCGAUACUGACACUGAGGUGCGAAGCGUGGGGAGCAA
rnacentral:rRNA from 1 species